rnacentral:tRNA from 1 species
ACACCCGUUUCUCUGCACUCCGAAGGCAGAGGCCACUGGUUCGAAUCCAGUCGGGUGCA